GGGCCCGCACAAGCGGUGGAGUAUGUGGUUUAAUUCGAUGCAACGCGAAGAACCUUACCAGGGUUUGACAUCCUGCGAAUCUCUUGGAAACAGGAGAGUGCCUUCGGGAACGCAGUGACAGGUGGUGCAUGGCUGUCGUCAGCUCGUGUCGUGAGAUGUUGGGUUAAGUCCCGCAACGAGCGCAACCCACGUCUUUAGUUGCCAGCAUUUAGUUGGGCACUCUAGAGAGACUGCCGGUGAUAAACCGGAGGAAGGUGUGGAUGACGUCAAGUCAUCAUGCCCCUUACAUCCUGGGCUACACACGUACUACAAUGCUACGGACAACGAGUCGCAAUACCGCGAGGUGGAGCAAAUCUCUUAAAGCUUGUCUCAGUUCGGAUAGGAGUCUGCAACUCGACUCCUUGAAGUUGGAGUCGCUAGUAAUCGCAAAU
rnacentral:rRNA from 1 species